ensembl:lncRNA
AUGUGUAAAAGCUGUUGUUUGAAAGACCAAGAAAAUGCUUCUGCUUGGACUUUGUUGGUGCUAUGAGUUUAAACUAUUCAUACCUCUGCCCAGCCACCUCAGAAUAAUCCCCACUGGCGGCCGGUUCUGGCCUGGGUCUGGACCGGUUCUGCCGAGUUUCCGGCCCUGUUUUGCUCCAGACUCGGUCUCUAUCGGGGAUCUGUUUUUUUUUUUUUUUUGGGACAAUCCCUACCUCGGGAUUCUGGUGACCAGCACACACACACACAGACACACAGACACACACACACAGACACACACACACACACACAUACAAGGGGUGAGGCCAUUUGGAAGUGAAGAUGGAGAGAAUGACCCUACUGCUUGGACACACCUGGCCCUUCUUCCUUCCGUUUCCACCUGAUGUUUGUCCUUGUUUGUUCGUUCAUUCGUUUCGUCUGUUUUUAGACAAAAAAAAAUCUCCAGCUGCAGAUCAUGUUAACGUUUGUUUAAAAAAAAGAAAAAAAAAUAGAGGUCAAAGGUGAAAUCUGCUCUACAUCAGGAAGAGAAAAGGUCCCUUUUGUGUCCCUUUUGUGAACACUUUUGCUCAAGCUUCACACUGCUCCACCACGAACAGCUUCUGUGUCUGUGUGUGUGUGAGUGUGUGUGUUUGUGUAUGUAUGUGUGUUCGUUCCUCCCCUGUAACGUGAUGCCUUUCGUAAGCAAUAGACUUGCUCCAGUGUUUUGUCAUAUCUAGGACUUCACACACAAACUGCACAGACAAUCAGAAAUGAUGUUGAGAGAGCACGAGAGCGACCGAGCAAGCGAGAGAGAAAGAGAGAGAAAGAGGGAGAGCACAAUUUUGAUACCUGAUUGAAUGGAUGUGGGUAUGAGCGGUCUACUUUCACAGAGGAAUGUAAUAGUCAUGGGAUGUGAAUGGCUGAAUCUUAAACCUAACUCAGUUUGAAGUGAAAAGACAAAACAAAAUUAAAAAAAAAGAUAUUUUACAGUAUAAAGGAUAAAGGUUGUAUAUUUUAAGAUUGCAGAUAUUUUUUACAGAAGUUAUAUGCAUACUAUGAGUCAUUUUACCGUUUUUGCAUACAUAGUUCUUUUUCUCAAAUUUCUACAAAGACAGCAUCCUGUUGCUUCUCAAAACAAGAAUAAGCCCAUAACCAGGUCCACAACAACAAGAACCCCAUAACCAGGUCCAGAACCCCAUAACCAGGUCCACAACAACAACCCCAUAACCAGGUCCACAACAAGAAUAAGCCCAUAACCAGGUCCACAACUAGAAUAAGCCCAUAGCCAGGUCCAGAACAAGAAUAAGCCCAUAGCCAGGUCCACAACAAGAAUAAGCCCAUAACCAGGUCCACAACAAGAAUAAGCCCAUAGCCAGGUCCAGAACAAGAAUAAGCCCAUAACCAGGUCCACAACAACAAUAAGCCCAUAACCAGGUCCAGAACAAGAAUAAGCCCAUAGCCAGGUCCAGAACAAGAAUAAGCCCAUAACCAGGUCCACAACUAGAAUAAGCCCAUAGCCAGGUCCACAACUAGAAUAAGCCCAUAGCCAGGUCCAGAACCCCAUAACCAGGUCCAGAAGCACCCAAAGGAGAAAUACACUUACAGUGGGGAAAAUAAGUAUUUGAACCCCUGCCGAUUUCGCAAGUUUGGCCACUUGCAAAGAAAUGUGUGAUCUAUAAUUGUAAUGGUAGGUCUAUUUUAACAGUGAGAGACAGAAUAUCCACAAAAAACAUCCAGAAAACUGCAUUUUAUAACAGGUAUGAAUUGAUUUGCAUUUGUCGCGGAAAAUAAGUAUUGAAUACUUAAUAAAUACUUAUUUUCCCCACUGUACAUGGAGUAAUAUAACUAAAUGGAACUCCUUUUCCAUUUAACGGCAGGUUCAGAAAGACAAGUGUCACUUUAAGCAAUCAGAUAACACCUGUCUCACCCGUCAGAUAAACAGACAGAUAAACCGAUAACACCUGUCUCACCUGUCUGAGGGGAUAGUUGUGACCCCACAAGGCAAGAGCUCUUACAAUCCAGGAAAAAAGAUGAAUGAACAGCAGCCAGUGUGUCUGAUAAGUGUGUAUCAAAA